rnacentral:lncRNA from 1 species
AACAUAGUAAAGUAUGUAUAUAAAAUUACUCUCCAUCCUUCAGGCAAGCCAAAUUCAGUGAUGCUGUUUGAAGACAGGCCAGUAUACCUGAUUGAGAAUCAAAAUGUUGUUAAGGCUAUUUCACUUUUAUUGGUGUAAAAUGCAAACUAAAAAACAUUUAUCUCAACAAUUCCAAAUUUUCUCUCCCACAAAGUUAUUUUUUAACGUGAAAAUAUUGAUUUACUAUUUGUCUAUUAUUAGGACAAAUUCUGCUGACAAUGAAGUUUUGAUCUCUUUGUUCACAAUCAAGAUUCAGACUUCUUUAGGUUACAGACACUCAUACUCAUUUUGAAAAUCCCAGCAAUUUGUUAGGUAACAUUUUUCUGAAAGACUGAAAGGAAUCAGACUACCUGCAGGCAUGGACAGAGUUGGUUACAUGGAAACAGGUCAAAGUCCAGUGACGGUGCAUGUGUUAUUUUGCUCUCUGUGUUCACAGAAAUGGCAGCAGUGCGUGAAGGACAAGGGGGAAGGCAGCACAACAUGGAACCUAGGUGUAAUGACUGUCUCAUUAUGCAGAAAGAGGAUCCUAGUGGAGCUGUCCCCAUAAUGUAUAUGAUAAAAUGGACUCAAGCAGCAUAAGAGGUGGACUGUGGUAUAUAUGGUGAUCUACUACUCUGCUCUCCGUUUGGGGAAGAAGACUUUGUUGCUCCUGCUGCUGUGAGUGCUGUUAGUAGUCAUUCUCUUCAAGGUAUACGAGGGUAUAUGUUACCCUCAGUGAAGGAAGCACUGAUUUUAGAGAUCAAGGAAAAAACCAAGAGGUAAAUAAUUCAACUGGUAAUAGAAGAUUCAUCCUGGUGAAAUCCAAUAUUGAUGAUUAAUGAGAGUAAGAGCACUCGAUUCCGCAGAAAGUAAGGAGUGAAAAAAGUUAAUUGGAUAUAGAUGACCUUCUACUCUUAUGUUCUUCAACAAGUGAGCCUUUGUCAACCUGCCACUUCCACAAUGACAGAACUUCUGAAUCAAGUGAGAGCAGUGAUGUGAGUGAGUGUGUGGAAUGUUCACCACAGUGGGCUUCUAAAGAGGAGGGCAGUGACGUGAAUGUGUGUGUGGAAUGUUCCCCACAGCGGAUUUUUAACGAAAGCUCAGACUUUCCUGCAUAUAUCCUCCCCACCUGCCAAAUCCGUGUGAAUGUAAUUAACUUGUCUAUAUUUGAGGUUUAGUAAUUGUGUAAAGUUUUUUGAGCAGUGAAUAAUCUGCAAAUUCGGGUUUGUGUCUGUAGUUAUACAGUUCUUCUCUCUGGUUUAAUUCUAUCCUAACCAUCAGAUGUAGGGUCUCUGAGAAAUCUAUGCUUCUUUUCCUUUUGAAUUUUCUUUUCUAUUUUUACUAGGAAGUGCUCCGUGUUUAUUUGCUAUGGCUUCCCAAGGAGCCUCCUGGGUAACCCCUG